rnacentral:lncRNA from 1 species
AAAAUAAAUUUAUUCAUAUAGUAAUAAAGAUAAUUAAAGUAUGAAAUUUCAUUUACAGUGAUACGUGGGCCCCCAACUGACCAAGAAGGUGUAGGGCUACGAACCCGUACUUUCUAGGAUGCAAAUCCGAGAUUAAUUCUCAUUUGAAUCAACUAUCAAAAAACUAUCCUAAGCCUGAAAAAUGAUAGCAAGAGAGGUGAGAUUAUAUAAUCCCAGUGAGUAAACAAUUACCAUCAAAAGCAUCUAAAGCCAAGUAGAUGGAGACAUUAUAAAGAUGUUAUAUCUCAAUAAUGUUCAUAACGCAAAAUUCGUUUCGAUCUAUACCAAACCAUUUCUUGUCAUCAAAAUUUCUCGGCUUAUGAAUUUCUUAAACUUGGCCCCUGCCAGAAUCAUUCUCGCGGGUACCUUCGUCAAGGUAUCCCACUGAGAUCGCCAAGGUUGUUAAAUGUCCCAUACCCAUAAACAUGUUUUCACAUCUGACACACAGCCGUUCCUUGGCGUUGACUGAGUCUGACUCUCACGUGGUGGCCCGAAUGUGAGGUGCACUCAAAUCUUACCUUAGGAGAUACUUCAUCCAACAUCUCCCCUCGGAGGUAGGUAUAUAAUUAGGUUACCGUGUGUCACGACCCAGAAAUCCCCUCGAACCCGUGACAACCGCCACGGUGCCCCUAUGGGCACUCACCUCCCGAAAUGCCAACCGAAACCCUGCAAGGCUUAAUAUCAGUUUCUCUUUUCCCCGGUGAGUAUCCAUUGCCAAAUAUUAUGGUCUAAAGGAUUUUGAGCUAUUUUCAACUUAAAACUGAUAAAAUAAAAAUUUGUCUCAUAGGGGCAUUUUGAUCAUUUUUCUCAAAAAUCUCAAAAUCAGUUAAAAAUGUAGUAUGCAAGUUAAAAACACAUAUUUCAUAAUCAAAAAUAAUUUUGGAUGUCUAAAACAUUUGUUUAAAAUGAAAUUAUGACUAUUAGUAUAAAAUAAAAAUAUUGAAUAAAAUAUUCAAUUUUUCUCAUGAAAUAAUAUUUUAAGAACACUGCAUAAAUAAUUUUUACAACGUAAAACUAAAAUAAAUUCAUAUAUAUUGUAAUACAGAUAAUCAAGAUAUAAAAUUAAAUUUGCAGUGACACGUGGGCCCACGAACGACCAAAAGUUUCUAGAGAGAUAAACAUACAUAUUUUGAGGAUGUCAAUCCAAUUGUAAUCCUCGAUGAAAUGAGCUAUCUACAGAUUUUUCUGAGCCUGAAAUGGGUGGAAAUGAGGGUGGUGAGAUUAUAAAAUCCCAGUGAAUAAACAAACACCGUUUAAAUAAGCUAAAGCCGAGUAAAGGGAGACAAUUAAAAUAUCCCAUCAUUUUAAGUAUUUCACAAUUUGAAAAUUCAUCCCAACCCAUGCAAAUGGUUGUAUUUCAUUUAAUUUCUCAUUAAGGCUUAUGACUUUCAUAACAUUUGGCUCAUGCCAUCAAAUAGUACUCGAUGACACCUUGAUCAAAGGUGUACACUCGAGCCCGCCAAGGCUGUUAAAAAUUUCGUAUACGCAUAAAACAUAUUUUUAGUUUGAAAAAUAUAACCAUUCCUUGGCAUUAGCGGAGUUCAUCAUCACGAGGUGGUUUGGCGUGACGUGAACUCUAUCCAUACCUCAGGAGAUACCCUACGUGCCUCUCCGACCGAGGUACAUAUAUAUAUCUGAAUUUCGUGCCCCUCUAAUAGGCUAGUCCGCAGAAUCCGCCUACUGCAGUAAGCUAAACCCACCAUAUAAUAAAAUUUUAACGGCAUGACAGGGCUAAUAUAAUACUACCCAGCCUACAAGGGUAAAAUACAACAAUUCAUACAAUUCAUAAAACACAGCCCAGCCAAUCAUGCCAACACAAUAAUAAUAUAUCAUAAGCCAUCAAUUUCUAAUCAUAAAUUUACAACAUACCAGUGGUCUCCAAUUACUCUAUUUUCAAAAUCGUUAUUCAAUUUCAAGACAAUUUAUAAAAUCUUUUCAUGUAAAUACAUUUUGUUUGUAAAACACAAAGAUUUACCAUUUAAACUCCUUUUCAUAAAAUUUCACCAAAACCGAAUAAAAACAUACUUUAGAUAAUAAAAAUGAUGGUAAGGUUACUCACAAUGUCCAGAGUGGGGAUUCUCGAAAUACUCAGAUUACUGGUCCUCGGGUACAAUUUCCUUGCCUUUAUCGGAGGACUCACCACCUUGACACAGUACAAAAUUGAGAAUUUCACCACAUUGGUACUAAAUUGAAAUUAAACUAAUUUAGACUACUAAUUCAUGAUAUGGAAUGCAAAAGGUCUAAAUUUUGCCUAAACACCAUAUUGACCUAUUUCGGUCUUUUACCCGAUAAAUUGAAAUACGCAUCCAAUUUAGCUCCAAUUGAUCCCAUUUCUUUUUCUAAUGCUUCAAAUCACUAAUGUCCAGCUAAAUAACCCAAAAUCAGCAAAGCCACAUUCAUAUUUCUUCUUGGAAAAAUUCGGCCAAAAUGGUUCAUCAUUGUCACAAUUUUUCCUACUUGAUUUUCUUUCCAUAAUUCAUUAAUUUCCAUAUCAAAAACCAUGAUUUCAUAAUCAAAUAACCUAAAAUAACAUCACAUUCUUCCUCACCAUUUACUUGAAAAUUCAGCUAAGGCUAGGUAAUGGGAAAAAUGAAUGUUUUUCUACAUAUUUUGUUUACUAACAUGCUAAACUAACACUAAACACUAACAUAUAUCAAAAUCAAAUCAAUCCAACAAUUUUCUCUCUCUAGACCCAUAUGACCAGCCAUUAAAUCACCAUGAAAACAUGCAAUUUAAUCAUGGAAAAUAAGGAGAAAUGCUUGGGAAUAAGAAAACUCAAGCUUAAUAGAAAAAAUCUUACCUUUUUCACUUAAUUUCCUUGAAAAUACACACUUUUUCUUUGAUUUUCUCUCUCUAGGGUUUGGUUUUUGUUUUCUCUCUCUUCUUGCUGGUUUGGCCAAGCAUGGGGUGGAAGAUGGGCUGGUUUUUGUGCCUUUUAAAAAGGAAAAAUAAUAAAUUAAUAAAGGCAUGACACGUGGCAUCAUGUCAUUGGCCCGUUUUUAAAACUUUAAAAAUUUUAAUCCUUUUAUGUCCACCACACAAUUAGUCAAUGGUCAAAAUGAGGAUAAGGGAAGACCAUGUGCUGGACAAAUGUCCUAGUGGUGGAAAAUUACUGUUUUGCCCCUAGGGUGGUAAAAUUACCAUUUUACCCCUAUGCUCCGAAAAAUACCAAGAAUAAAUUUUUUUCACUUCUUAAUCCUCAAAUCAUACUCCAAUAAGUCAAAUGGGGCCAAAAAUCUUUUCUAAAAAUUCCUGUUUUGUCCUCAAGUGGCAAAUGAUCACUGUACACCUAGAUAGUGAAAAUUUCAGUUUGACUCCAAAUUGAUCCUCGAACUCCGAUUCACCAUAUUAAACCAUUCUGGGACUUUAAUAUUCUUAAUUUCAUCUUAAAUUCUCUAUUUCAUCUAGUUCGAGGCUUAAAUCAACUUUAUUGUACCUUUAGGUACAAUACCGACUUUUGUAAAUUUUUCGAGACUCUCCUAACAUGCAAACAUGCUAUCCAUCACAUGUAUGUCAUGACAAGUAUUUUAUAGAGUCAUGCUUGACAUCUUUUCCCCUACUUCGAUCAACCAUAUGAUCCUUCUUCAUGUCUGAUUUUGACAUCUAGAUAAAUAUUAAUAUUUGAAAAUUAUUUCAUUAAUAAAAUAUUAUUUUAUUCUAAAAAUUUUAUCUUGUCUCUUUGGUUUCCAAAGUUCCUUAUUAUGCCUCAAUUCUCAUCCAACCAACUUUAUUUAUCACCAUAUCAAAGUAUGGGGCAUUCCCUGGAAUCCCACACUUUUUCUUCAAUUUUCCCACCUAGGGUUUGUGUUCUUCCCUUUCCUCCUCACUUCAUGCUUUGGCCGCCCAUAUGGGUGAGACUAAGAGAGUUUUAAAUAGAUUUUACAAGCAAGUUCUAGAAUGAUCCAAGCUUGACACAUGGCAUGUUUCCAUUGGUCCAUGUGUAAUACUUAUCCAUUAAGCAAUCUCUCUCCACCACAUAAAACUUUUCAAUUAUCAACAAUGUAAAAUGGUAAUGGCUGAAAUCCAUGGGCAUGACAAGUGUUAGGUGGUGUAAAAUUCUAAAAUUCCAACUUUUCCCGCAUAAACUCAUAAAAUUACCGUUUUGCCCCUAGGACUCCAAAAGUCUCAGAAUUUAAAUUUUUAACCUUUCAAAUUCAAAUCAUACUCUAAUGAGUCCAAUGUGAUGAAAAUAUUUUCUAAAAAUUUCCAUUUUAUCCUCGGGUGACAAAAUUACCAUUUUGCCUAUAGAACAUGAAAAUUCUAAAUUGACUCUAAUUCAGCCCUCGAACUUCAAAUCAUCAUUUUAAGUCAUUUCUGAACUGUAAAAUUUUGAAUUUCACCUUAAAAUCCCUAUUUGACCUAGUUCGAGGCUUAGAUCAACUUUAUUGUACCUCUAGGUACAAUACCGACUUUUGUUAAUUUUUCGAGGCUCUCCUAGUAUGUAAACAUGCUAUCCAUCACAUGUAUGUCAUGACAAGUAUUUUCUAAUGUCGGGCUUUACAGCACUACCCCACUUAAAAUAAAAUUUUGUCUUCAAAAUUUCUUUUAUCAAACUCAAAGAAAAGGUGGGGUAUUUUCUUCCAUUAUUUCAACAUACUUCCUGUUUAUCUCACAAGUAUGAAAUAUCAAUCUUCUUAAUCAUAUUAAUCAAUCGCGUACAGCUUAACCAUGCUAUAGAUCAUAUUUCCUUGAUAUUAUCUCCUUGACUAUUUUCCAGAGUCUCUUAUGUCCACAUAGUUCAAUUUCUGAUAAAAUUUCUUAUCAUUGUACUACCUACAUCACUCAUCAUAUAUUAAGUUUGAAUCUUAAUUCACUAAAAAUCAUUCUUCAUUUUAGUUGAUCACAAUAUCCACCCAACAUAUGUGUAUAUGCCUUAUAAUCUCAUUUAUGCUUCCAAGAUCUAUCUUGAUUUUAUCAUUGAAUACGAUGCAGUGUCACAAUUCCUCAAAGUCAUCCCUUUGUCCUCAAUCAUCUUUCAUGACUCUAUAUUGCUUUGUAUCCUUCUUGUACUUCGACAUUAAUUUGUUACUUAAGAUUUAAAUUCAUUUGAACUUUGUAUACUUCAAGCAUUUUUUAGUUCUAAUUUCCACAAUAUAAUAAGAAAUUCUUACAGUAAUAUUCCAUAUGAACUUAUUUACUAUAUUAUUCUUGAAACCUUUAUUUACUUUCUCCUCGUUUGAUAUUGACAUCCUUGGUCACUAUCUCACAUCUUCAUCUAUAAGCAUCUCCAAAACUCUUCAUGUCCUAUGUCCCACCUUAGGACAUUCUUCUUAUACUACGUCCACCUAAGGUUACUGUAUUAUAAGCUUCAACAAAACACUAAACAUCUUUAGGAUCAUCAUCAUCCUGAUCUGCUUUUCAGUCUAUUUCAAGUUUUCCCUUUUUCUUCUUUUGCCAUCCCCUUACAUUGCUCCCACAGCCUGGGCGAGAAUGUCUAAUGACUGAUGUAGAUGCUUUCCCACUAUAAUACUCUUCUUCUGCUAUCCUCAAGUUCUAUAUGCAAAUGCAUCAUAUUCAAUCUAACCUGACUUAACUUAACUCGGGGCCACAUAGUGUCAGUGUGGAUUUCUUAAAACAACUUUAAAACCAAAAACUUUAAAAUCCAAAGCUUUAAAACCAAAAUCUCUAAUCUUUAAACCAUGCUUUGAUAUCAAUCAAAUUGUCACGACCCAAAACUCCCAUCGAGCCCGUGACAACCGUCGCGAAGUCUCGUCAGACAUUUUUUACCCCGAAUGCUAACGAAAACCUCGCAAGGCUUUUGUAUCAAUUUCUUAUCUCACAUGUGAUCGAUAGUCACUAAAAUCAAACAAUAUGGACCAUUUUCCCAUCCAAAAACAAUGAAAAUUUAUUUCUGCCUCAUAAGGGUAUUUUAGUCAUUUUUUUUCUGUUUUCAAAAAUUUUGAAAUCCGUAAAAAAUGUAAUAUGUAAAUGGAAACACAUAUUUCAUGAUUUAAAUUAAAUUUUGAAGUCUAGAACAUUCAUUUAAAGUAAAUUUAUAGCUAUUUGAAUAUAAUAAAAACUUUAAAUAAAAUAUUCUAUUUUCUUAAAACACAAUAGUUUCAAAGUCUUCCUAAAAAAACUUUUGUAGCGUAAGAGUAAAAUAAAAUUAUUCAUAUAGUAAUAAAGAUAGUUAAAGUAUGAAAUUUUGUUUACAGUGAUACGUGGGCCCCCAACUGACCAAGAAGGUGUAGGGCUACGAACCCUUACUUUCUAGGAUGCAACUCCGAGAUUAAUUUUCAUCUGAAUCAACUAUCAACAAACUGUCCUGAGCCUGAAAAAUGAUAGGAAGAGGGGUGAGAUUACAUAAUCCCAAUGAGUAACAAUUACCAUCAAAAACAUUUAAAGCUGAGUACAUGAAGACAAUAUAAAAAUGUUCUAUCUUAAUAAUGUUCAUAACGCAAAAUUUGUUUCGAUCUAUACCAAACCAUUUCGUUUCAUCAAAAUUUCCUAGCUUAUGAAUUUUGUAAACUUGGCCCCUGCCAUAAUUAUUCUCGCGGGUACCUUUGUCAAGGUAUCCCACUGAGACCGCCAAGGUUGUUAAAUGUCCCAUACCCA